UACGUAGGGUGCGAGCGUUGUCCGGAAUUAUUGGGCGUAAAGAGCUCGUAGGCGGUGUGUCACGUCGGCCGUGAAAACCUGGGGCUUAACUCUGGGCGUGCGGUCGAUACGGGCAUCACUAGAGUUCGGCAGGGGAGACUGGAAUUCCUGGUGUAGCGGUGAAAUGCGCAGAUAUCAGGAAGAACACCUAUGGCGAAAGCAGCUCUCUGGGACGGUACUGACGCUGAGACGCGAAAGCGUGGGGAGCGAACAGG
rnacentral:rRNA from 1 species